UUUUCUUAUCUCAUUGACUACUUAUUUUGUUACGCCGACUACUUAUUUUGUUAUGCUAUAUUAUAGGCGCUUUUUACUUUUUCACCUUAUUAUGUGGUGUUUACUAUCCAUGUGUUUGAUAACCGCAAAUGAUUACGUUGGCUUUACUUUUAUUGUUUGAAUAUCUUAUUUGAUUGUUCUUAUCCUGAAAAAACAAAAGGAAAGUUAUAACUAAAUGAACUUAUUCGACAAUUGUUUUGGCUGAUGGAAGCAAUGACCAACACUGAAAUCCUUUUAGAGGCGGAAACAAAUCUAGGGUUAUGUCCAGGGGCAAUUGCGAACACGAGAAAUGGUCGCAAGUCAUAACAUGGGAGCACUUGAGCGAAUGGGGCCGGGAGGCUUCCCCAUUACUAGACCUAGCUCUGGGAGUAUGAUGCCUGGUAUUCCUAGUACAAGGAAGAUGCCGGGGUUGCUUGGGCUUGAUAUUGACAAAUGUCAAAGGGGUGGGACUAGGAUCCUCUGCUGUAAAUGGGUCCUGUUGUACUUAUGCUGUAGUGCAAAAAGGUAUGUUUUUAAAAAGGAUCAUUUUUUAUUGAGAUGGAAAAAAGGAACGACGUUACGGUAAAAAUAUUACCAAAAAAAAAAAAAAAAAGAGAGAAAACUACCAAUUAGAGAGAAAAAAAAAAAAAAAAAAAAAAAAAAAAAAAAGGAAAAAAAAUAUUUUGCUUUAGCGCUCCCUCAUCACCGUUCGGUAAAACAAUGACAAAUAUUUGAAGCCAAAGUGACCUGAUAAUAUAAUAUGUGAGAGAGUCCAUGUUUUUGUGGUAGACCUUUUUUUUUUCCUUUUCAAAUUACUCAGAAUUAAGUUUGAGAAAAAAUUAAAAGGCAUUGAGGUAAAGAUGUAAAGAUUAAAGUUGUCGAUAAUAAGUUUAAAAUGUGUUGACAACAAGAUUAAAGCUGUUGAAAAUAAAAUUAAAAGGUGAUGAGGUAAUAUUAAAGGUAUCGAGAACAAUAUUAAAGGGUGGUGAGAAAAAUAUUGAAGUUGUUGAGAAAAAGAAUAAAUGUGUUAUAAACAAGAUUAAAAGUGUUGAGAAAAAGAACAAGAUUAAAGGUGUUGAGAAAAAGGUUAAGGGUGUUGAGAAAAAGAUUAAAAAGUGUUGAGAACCCGAUUAGAGGUGUUGAGAAAACUAUUAAAUCGUGUUGAGGUAAAGAUUAAAGGUGUUGAGGUGAUUAAAGGGUGCUGAAGUAAUGAUUAGAAGGUUUUUAGAAUCCAACUAAAGGUAUUGAGAACAGUAUUAAAUGUAUUGAGAAUAAGAUUAAAAUGUGUUGAGAAUGAUUUAAUUAGGUAUCUUUCCAAGCAUAGGGACUUAAAUUCCUUAAAUUUCAAUUAUAUUUAUCUCUACUUGUUUCAUAUGUUAAAAUUUCGAAAUUGAAUUUUUCAUGAAUUUUUUUAUCAACCGUUGCACAAAUUGUUUUUCUUCUAGCAGAGGACUGUUGUUCCACUUUUCGAUUUUACCUAACUAAUCGCGCCCUAUUGUCUUGGAGUGUGACAAUGUCCACUAUUUUUUUGAAAAAUAUAGAUGCUAAUAUAUUAUGAAUCAUAUAUAUGGCCUAGCAGUACCAAGCCCCUACUUCUCAAAGAGAGGUUAGGGGUUCGAGCCUCCGUGAAGGCAUGUGUGUGAGUACCCAACUAGAAAAAAAAAAAAAAAGAAUGAAAUUCUUGUUCAAAAAGCAGUUUCAUAAUUAGUAUUUACUUCUAAAACAUUGGACAUUAUCUUUUCAAAAAAUAACAAAUAUUUGAAGCCAAAGUGACCUGAUAAUAUAAUAUGUGGGAAACAAAGUCCAUGUUGUUGUGGUAGACUUAUUUGAGUUUGAGAAAAAAUUAAAAGGCAUUGAGGUAAAAAUUAUAGGGUCUUCAAGUAAAGAUAAAGGUGUUGAGAAUAAGAUUAAAAGAUGUUGAGAAUAAGAUUAAAAGGUGUUGAUGUAAUAUUAAAGGUGCUAAGAACAAGAUUAAAUGCUGUUGAGAAAAAGAUUAAAGGUGUUGAAAACAUGAUUAAAAGUGUUGAGAAAAAUAUUAAAAGGUGUUGAGAAAAAGAUUAAAAGGUGUUGAGAAAAAAGAUUAAAGGUGUUAAAAAUAAGAUUAAAUGUGUUGAGAACGAGAUUAAAAGAUGUUGAGAAUAAGAUUAAAACGUGUUAAGAAAAUAUUAAAUGGUGUUAAGAAAAGAUUAAAAGGUGUUGAGAAAAAGAUUAAGAAAAAUCUUUAAUCUUUACCUCAACACAAUUUAAUAGUUUUCUCAACACUUUUAAUCUUGUUCUCAACACCUUUAAUCAUGCUCACAACACUUUUAAAUCUUUUUCUCAACACGUUUAAAUCUCGUUUUCAAUAUAUUUAAUCUUAUUCUUAACACUUUUAAUCUUUUUCUCAUAAGGUGUUGACAACAUGAUUAAAAGUGUUGAGAAAAAAAUUAAAAGGUGUUGAGAACAAGAUUAAAGGUGUUGAGCAAAAAGAUUAAAAAGUGUUGAGAACAAGAUUAAAAUGCUUUAAGAACAAGAUUAAAAUGUGUUAAGAAUAAGAUUAAAAGGUGUUGAGAAAAAGAUUGAAGGUAUUUAGAAAAAUCUUUAAUCUUUACCUCACCACCUUUAAUCUUGUUUUCAACAUCUUUAAUCUUGUUUACAACACUUUUUAAUCUUUUUCUCAACACCUUUAAAUCUUGUUCUCAAUACAUUUAAUCUUAUUCUUUGACACUUUUAAUUUUUUUCUCAACACUUUUAAUCUUGUUUUAAACACCUUUUAGUCUUUUUCUCAACACCCUUUGAUCUUGUUUACGACACAUUUAAUAUCACUUCAACAAAUUUUAAUCUGGUUCUCAACAGCUUUAAUCUUGUUCUAAACACCUUUUAAACUUAUUGUCAAUAACUUUAAUCUUUAUCUCAAGACCCUAUAAUCCUUUACCUCAAUGCCUUUUAAUUUUUUUCUCAAACUCAAAUCUGAGUAAUUUGGGAGAAAAAAAAGUCAGAUCAUUUUGGCUUCAAAUAUUUGUCAUUGUUUUAUGGGACGGUGAUGAGGGGGUGCUGAAGCAGAAUAUUUUGUUUUCCUUUUUUCGUCUCUCAAAAAUUAUCCUUUUUGAAAACAUACAUUUUUGCACUACAGCAUGGGUAUAGCAGGAUUCAUUUACAGCAAAGGAUGCUAGUCCCAAAGGGGUGAUGGUUAUGGUCCUACUCAGUCUGCCAGAUGUUUCCAGUCACCUUUGAUCGGGAAGUCGGCACCCCUCAAUUCAAAAUUGUUACCUCUAGGAGGUGGUGGUUUCGUAACUGGAAAAACCCUGCUGCAGAGAUGUGGCAGUCCCCUUACCCGAACUUCUGUUUUUGUUUCAGGAGUAGAACCCAUAAGUUAAAACCUUAAGCCUGCUUCUCUGGCACCAUUUGCAAUUUCUUCCUGCCACAGGCUCCUGCAACAAAAUCGAAUCUUGCAUAUAUUUUAGGAGAACUAUUCCCGUUUAGAGGAAUAUAUUGUGUUCGGGUUCUUGAUGAAGCAUUGCAGUGUGUGGAAGAUCUUCAACAUAUCACCCUGAGGUCAUUUAAAAAGCCAUUGCCUUGCACUGGAGAAUAGCCCCCUUUUGUAGAACCAAUCAUAAAGCUUUUGAAAUUUAUGUUUAAGAGAAAAGUUUUGAUGACCAGAAACAUAGGAACUGGACCUCUUUUAUAAGCCUCCAAGUUGGAUUAAAUUGCAUUGAUUUGCCGAAAGCACCAAAUAAUUUUGGGGAGGUUGUUGGGAAGUUGGUUAUGGUUGGGGGUUUGGACUUUAAGGUGGUUGUUGAAGUUUUGAAAAAGGUGGAAGAUGAUAGAUUCCGAUCAGCCAUUUUUUAUGCCGCUAUAGGGAGCAUUUAUUUUAGGCCUUCCAAGGAGUCUAGGCAAUAAUGCAAGGGGCUGAUAUUAUGUUUGUGAUGUGAGAAACUGAUAUCGAACUGCUUAAAAACCAAACUGUUUCUUUUUACACGAUCUGGUUCGAAUCGUUCUGCCAGAAACUCAGUCUCUGCCCCCUGUUCCGAUGAGUUGUAUAUUUUUCGAGGAUUUUGUGUUUCUUUAUCAAGGGAUCUAACAAAAUGCCUCAAGUGUUGAUUCUCAACUCUAUCCGAGUUUCAGUAUUUCAGGGGUGAGUUACACGAUCCGGUUACUUUAGUUUCUGAAUUUAUAUGUACGGUAUAAUUUUGGAUUUUGCUUCUCAUGGGCUCAAUUUUUUCUCACAGAUAUUGUUUUUAGUCUGUUUUUUUUAUUCAAUGGGGUUCAAGUUAUCUUUCAAGAUUGUCCUAUAGCUUUUUAAAUUGGAUGGGGUCUGAACUUUGAAACUUGUAAUUUUCAGUUGCUUUAGCCUGUUCGAUAUUUGAUUACAGCCCAACAGACUCUAUAUUAUUGCAGCUUUGCUUCACCCAAGAUGCAAUAAGAUCAUGAAGCAAGUUCUCAAGGGUUUCUCUUCAAUAACUCCACAAAUCAAAUCUUGAUGCUGUGCGGUGUAGCCUUCCAGGCUUGGAUGUUUUAUCAUCCAGCUUACAGAUAACUGAGAGCUUUGUUCUUUUGUUUUUGAAUUAACAUGUUGGAUUACAUUUACACCCAAAAGAUUUAUUUUUAUUUUUAUUUUUUAUUUUUUAUUUUAUUUUCUUUUCUUUUCUUUUCUUUGUCGAAAGUUCAAGAAAACACACAUUCAUUAUAUUGAUGCUGUGCAGUGUAGCCUUCUAGGCUUGGAUGUUUUAUCAUCCAGCUUACAGAUAACUGGGAGCUUUGUUCUUUUGUUUUUGAAUUAA